UUAUCCCUUUAAAGAAAAAAAGAGAAGGUUCUAUAUUACUGAGCCUAGAGCUGAUGCCAAAGUAUAUGUGCUCUGUCAAGACAUCCUGCUCCCACCAGACAGGAGCGUCUGCUGCUGCUGAGAGGCAGAGCAACACAGAAAAUUAGGCUACGGCGAAGAACUCUGAAAACUGAGUAGGAAGGUAAUCACAAGCUGAAAAUAACUGCUGCCCUUGCCCUGCCUCUGGUACACUGAGAAGGCACCAGCCCUAAUAUUUACUGUUUACCAAGCCAGUUUGGAGUAAAGACGAAAAUGUGGAACAAGUUCAUUUUUCCAAUGUAUUUAUUUGACAUCCCAACCGCAGUUUCCCCGGCCUCUUCUCCCGGUCCCCCCGACUCCUCCCCUCUGCCCCCCCAAACCGACACGUCCUCCUCCAUUAGCAGUUCAUUUUUAAAAUGCCAAAAGUUCCUGCAGCCUUGCUGUAGCUCUGGAAUAUCAUAUCUCACUGGAAAAGGGCAAAAUGGCCAGCUGCUUGCUGCGUUCCCUUCUGACUUUCAGAGCUUACAACCCAGCAUAGAAUAAAGGUAAUAAUAAAUA